AGAAUCAACGCUGGCGGCGUGCCUAACGCAUGCAAGUCGAACGAGAAAGUGGAGCAAUCCAUGAGUAAAGUGGCGCACGGGUGAGUAACACGUGACUAACCUACCUUUUAGUGGGGGGAUAACCUAGGGAAAACCUGGGCUAAUACCGCAUAAUACCUACGGGUCAAAGCAGCAAUGCGCUGGAAGAGGGGGUCGCGGCCGAUUAGCUAGUUGGCGGGGUAAUGGCCCACCAAGGCAGUGAUCGGUAUCCGGCCUGAGAGGGCGCACGGACACACUGGAACUGAAACACGGUCCAGACUCCUACGGGAGGCAGCAGUGGGAAUUUUGCGCAAUGGGGGAAACCCUGACGCAGCAACGCCGCGUGGAGGAUGAAGACCCUUGGGUCGUAAACUCCUUUCGAUCGGGACGAUAAUGACGGUACCGGAAGAAGAAGCCCGGCUAACUUCGCGCCAGCAGCCGC
rnacentral:rRNA from 1 species